rnacentral:rRNA from 1 species
UACAGAGGGGGCAAGCGUUGUUCGGAAUUACUGGGCGUAAAGGGCGCGUAGGCGGCCUGCUAAGUCGAACGUGAAAUCCCUGGGCUCAACCCAGGAACUGCGUCCGAUACUGGUUGGCUUGAAUCCGGGAGAGGGAUGCGGAAUUCCAGGUGUAGCGGUGAAAUGCGCAGAUAUCAGGAGGAACACCGGUGGCGAAGGCGGGUCUCUGGGCCGAUACUGACGCUGAGGAGCGAAAGCGUGGGGAGCGAACAGG